CCUCUUUCGCCAGGGACGAAGAGCAAUUGACGGUACCUGGAGAAGAAGCACCGGCCAACUACGUGCCAGCAGCCGCGGUAACACGUAGGGUGCGAGCGUUGUCCGGAAUUAUUGGGCGUAAAGAGCUCGUAGGCGGUGUGUCGCGUCGGCCGUGAAAACUUGGGGCUUAACUCUGAGCGUGCGGUCGAUACGGGCAUCACUUGAGUUCGGCAGGGGAGACUGGAAUUCCUGGUGUAGCGGUGAAAUGCGCAGAUAUCAGGAGGAACACCGGUGGCGAAGGCGGGUCUCUGGGCCGAUACUGACGCUGAGGAGCGAAAGCGUGGGGAGCGAACAGGAUUAGAUACCCUGGUAGUCCACGCCGUAAACGUUGGGCGCUAGGUGUGGGGACCAUUCCACGGUUUCUGUGCCGCAGCUAACGCAUUAAGCGCCCCGCCUGGGGAGUACGGCCGCAAGGCUAAAACUC
rnacentral:rRNA from 1 species